rnacentral:lncRNA from 1 species
AGGCGGCCAGCAGCCUCCGCGGGAGCAUGCCGCCUCCCGCAGGGCCCGCCGCGAGCUUCCGGGGCCCAAGGAACCAGUCCGGAGGGGCGCAGGCGGUGGUCGCAGCGUCCCCCUAAAUGGCCGGCCACGAACCCGUCUCACGGUCCCGCGGCCAGGAGCCGCCGCUCAUCUGUCUCUGCAGCCACCGCUGAGGAAGAGUCUCCUCUGAGGGGAGAGUCGGUCAUGGCAGCAGACGCCGGGAUGGCUCCGCGACUGCUACACCAGGCACUCCUGGGCCCGGGCAGCAGACCAGUCAGCCCUGUGGCUCCUCGGCGACCUCCAGCGGGCGCCCGGGGCCGGGAUGCAGGGCGCGCGGACAGAAACGAGACAGACAGCUCAGGCCCAGCAGCACGCAAGCUCCCGCGCCUUCCGCGACUGCCACACGCGCGGCGCGCGCGCACCCUACUUUUUCUCCGCCACCUGGGCCGUGAUUGGGCGCGACCUGGGCUCCUGGGUGCUCAUUGGCGCCGUGAAGUGCUCGUCACCGCCCCCUCCUGCCCCUUCAUGCAUGCGCGGAGGCCGCCUGCUAGCAAGGUAGGUGGCUCGGCGGCGAGAGCCGUCAAGGGCGCAUUGGAGAGUGACCCUCGGACCCGGCUGCCGCCGUCGCCGCCAUCUUCCGGCCGUCCCAGCCCCGCCCCGCGGAGAAACCUGGCCAGGUUCCUGUUAGAAUCCUGCCAGGUGUUAACUUGUUUUAAGAGGCCGGCACGCUGGCCCCCUUCUUUAUUAGAGUGCAGGGUGGGGGCGGGGCUCCGCAUGUCUCUGCGGGGGCUGGGGGCUCCCAGUGAUAACCGCCAUUGCAGAAUUAAAACUGAGACAGUGAAAGAGAUCUGACCUAACCAA